rnacentral:lncRNA from 1 species
CGCCCCGCGGGCUGGGUGGCCGCGCGCAGCUCCGCUACACAGCGGGAGGUGCGCCCAGGGACUCGGCUCCUGAUCGAGCUCACAUAUAGAGACCCCGGAGGGAGGCCCAACGGUUCGAAUCUGAGAGCCUUCCAGGCACUGGCCAGCGGAGCCCUCGAAGGAAUUCAUCGACUCAGCGCCCACUCCAUGCUGUUCCAGGCGCUGGGGACACAAGCCAGCAGACAAUUAUCGCCCUUCCGGAGAGUGACCAGUGUCACCAGAGCUGGAAUACGGGGAUGGCGGCAGGCCAGGAGGACCCACCGGCGCCAAACCAGCCUACCUUCAGAGCCGGAAGCCAUUCGUGGGAGCUGGAGGGAGGCGUGGCCGCUGGACAGAAGGACCAGCUGCCAGAAGGCAGGGGCAGCGAGGCUGUGAGAGCACAUUCAGUACCACUGGUGAAGUUGAAACGAUGAGUCUUCACUUAAUUUCCUUACUUCAGGGAUGCCUGAGUGGCUCAGUGGUUGAGUGUCUGCCUUUGGCUCAGGUCAUGAACUUGGGGUCCUGGAAUCGAGUCCUACAUCGGAUUCUCACAGGGAGCCUGCUUCUUCCUCUGCCUGUGUCUCUGCCUCUAUGUGUCUCUCAUAAAUAAAUAAAUAAAAUAUUUGAAAAAUUUCCUUACU